rnacentral:rRNA from 1 species
UACGUAGGGCGCAAGCGUUGUCCGGAAUUAUUGGGCGUAAAGAGCUCGUAGGCGGCCUGUUGCGUCCGCUGUGAAAUCCCGGGGCUUAACCCCGGGCGUGCAGUGGAUACGGGCAGGCUGGAGGCAGGCAGGGGAGAACGGAAUUCCCGGUGUAGCGGUGAAAUGCGCAGAUAUCAGGAGGAACACCGGUGGCGAAGGCGGUUCUCUGGGCCUGUACUGACGCUGAGGAGCGAAAGCGUGGGGAGCGAACAGG